rnacentral:rRNA from 1 species
GAUGAACGCUAGCUACAGGCUUAACACAUGCAAGUCGAGGGGAAACGCCAUCGAAAGCUUGCUUUUGAUGGGCGUCGACCGGCGCACGGGUGAGUAACGCGUAUCCAACCUGCCCAUCACUUGGGAAUAACCUUGCGAAAGUAAGACUAAUACCCAAUGACAUCCCACGAAGACAUCUGAAUGGGAUUAAAGAUUUAUCGGUGAUGGAUGGGGAUGCGUCUGAUUAGCUUGUUGGCGGGGUAACGGCCCACCAAGGCAACGAUCAGUAGGGGUUCUGAGAGGAAGGUCCCCCACAUUGGAACUGAGACACGGUCCAAACUCCUACGGGAGGCAGCAGUGAGGAAUAUUGGGCAAUGGGCGAGAGCCUGAACCAGCCAAGUAGCGUGCAGGAGGACGGCCCUAUGGGUUGUAAACUGCCUUUAUAAGGGAAUAAAGUGGGUCUCGUGAGACUUUUUGCAUGUACCUUAUGAAUAAGGACCGGCUAAUUCCGUG